UUGCAGUUGGUGAAAGGCUGAUACCUUUUUAGUUAGUUAAUUUACUGAUUUCUCUUCAACGAUCAACACCAAGUUUCAAUCGUUAGACAAAAACUUACAGAAACAUUCAGAAAAUGAGUGAAGAAACUAAAUCGCCAGACUCUACAUCCCUUGUGACCCGACCAGGCAUCUUCUCUAUCGGAUCCUCCAGCGUUGGCAAACGCACCCUCCACUCUAACUCCUUUGACUCAUCAAAUCAAGUUAUCUCACAUGGAUGGAUUAUUAAUACAAAGUACUACACGGCUGAUGUAGCUCUAUGGAUGGCUCAUCUUCAUGAAGGAUUUUCAAUUGGAUCACUUCCAUUUUACAACAAGCUUACUGCUUUGGUUAUGGUUUUUGACUUAGUGAUGUUAGUAUUGUAGUUCUUCAUAAUAUAUUUGUGAUAAAUCUAUUUUUUUUUUUUUCAUUUUUUGAAUUGGAAACGAUGCAAAUGCUGCGAUACCCAAUUGGAGAAAACUUUAAAAUUUUGAGUUUGGAUGGAAAUUAUGCUUCUUUUUGUUGGUUUUAAGUGUAAAUGUGAAUUCUUCAAAACCCAUUUUCCAAAAGGUUUAAGGUCUCAAACCUUGAUGAAAAGAUUGCUUCUUUUGUUGUUUUUUUUUUUUAAUUGUUUAUAUGCAAAUGCCUCAAAACAUAUUUGGAGAAAGGCUUAAAGUUUCAAGCUUCGAUGCAAAGAAUUUUCUUUUGUUGGUUUCUUAUUGUUGAAAUUGGAAGGUGGCCAACAUAUAAGUUUUUGAGUUUCAAGCUUUCAUUUAAAUUAUGCUUCUUUUUGUUGGUUUCAAGUGUUUAAAUUGCCAAUGCUUCAAUUUGGGGAAAGCUAUAAAUUUGCAAGCUAUGAUGUUAAGUAUGGUUUUUUUGUUGAACUGUGUGCAGUUAUCAUCUCUUGUUGCACUUAAGGAUUGGGUCGCUGGAACUGAUAUUAGCAACUUUUUGAUAUUGUUGUGUGUUGGGAAUAAAGUUGAUCGGAUUCCUGGUCAUCCUGUUCAUGCUAAAUAUAGAAAACAGCUAAGGAGAAUUGGAGAGUCGGGGUCUUUUGAUAAUCUGAGUAUAGAGUUUGAUGAGUUUGGAAUUUCUGAAACUUAAAGAGGUAGUUUGUUGGAUGAUGAAGAAGAGCCAUUGCGGGAGAUGAAGAGGUCCUGUAUUGAAUGGUGCACUGAGAAUGGCAUUGAGUACAUUGAAGCUUGUGCUUUGAAUGUUGAUUUUGACAAAUGUGAGUACCAUCUUCUAUCUCCAAGUUUGUAAUGAUUUCAAAAGGGAUCUAUUUCAUGACUUUUCCAAGCUCCUGAUGGAUAGCAAGUACUCAAUAAAUGACAUUAUGCAAUAUGUAGUUUUCUCAAGUAAAAUCAUGAUGUUAAUAAUAAUGUAGAACCUGAUGUUUUUCAUUCUACUUAACUUUUGAUAUAUCUAUCUAUCUUUAGAAUGAGAAGUGUUUUGAUCGUUUAUAAUUGAGGUCAACAAUUUUGUAGAAUUUCAGUAAGGACAUUCACCCUGCUUUACUGAAACAUUUUCCUGCUGAUGGAUUGAGAAUUGGAAUUUUGAAGUGAAAGAGAAGUAGGAACAGAACAUGACUGGGUCUUCAUGGAGAUUAACAUGGGAUUUAGUCAUCGAUUUAGGUUGAUGAAAGAUAAACCAGGAAACAAACAAAAGUUGUAAAGUUGUAACUAAUAAUAUUAAAUCUCUAUGUGUCUCACUUUUGGUAUCUAGGAGAAUUGCAAUGUUGUUUUUGCAGGUUUAUCAGUUGAUGGGGAUUGCAAGGAAUAGAACGUCUCUAUGGUGCUCUUUCUGCUCAUAUGUGGCCAGCAAUGAUCCUGAAAUCUGACAAUAAGAUAUCUCGACCAACUUUACCUGAUAAAGAAGAAAUCUCUGAAGAAUCUGAUUAUGAAUUCGAGUACAAAGCACUAUCUGCUGGUCAGCUGAACCACGGGACGACAAAUAUGGAGGAUGGGUUUCUGCAAAUGGUACAACUGCCAUUCCAGAUGUAGGGGGGUCAGUUGCUGAAAAUAAUUCUAUCAAAGAAUGUGAGAAUGAGAACAGAGAAAAGUUUGGUAAAGAAGAGAUACAGCCCUCGUCAUCAGCAACGGAAUUGCUGGGUGAUAAGGGAGUGGUGCCUAAUGUACAAGAGCCUCGUGAAAAUUGAGAGUCGGAUGAAGCUACUCCUUUUGACUUUGAGGAUUUAGAACAGUUGAUGUCUGAAAUAGGAAAUGUGCGUGACAGCUUAAGGUUGAUGCCUGAUUUUAAAAGGAUGUAAAUGGCUCCUAAUUGGGCCAUGAAAAUGGCAGCCAUGUUUGGUGGUGGAAGUGAUGAUGAGGAGGAGGGAGUUGAAUGAUUAGAUGGAUUGGCUAGGACUAAUUAGUUUAACCUGUAACUUUAAACCAAUCUAGUUCAUGGUGAUUUUGGGGUGGUAACGGUCCAGUCUUCUACAAGGUAAAAGAGAUGUACUUCCUGAAAUUUUGUGCUGAUCUCUUGAUGUCUCUUGUCGAGUCCCCCUUUCCAGCUUGAGAAGAUAAUUAAUGAAGAUAUUUCAAUACUCGCCUUAA